GGACCCGGCGGGGCUGGGCGCGCGGAGCGGGGCUGUGUGUGCAGCGCCGGCGCCGGCGCUGCGAGGGCUG
rnacentral:miRNA from 1 species